rnacentral:lncRNA from 1 species
AUCUGUACAAGCAAAAGACAUUUUAUACUAGUCACUAGCUUCUAACUUUGGGCGGGAAAAGUUGUUACAUCCACCCACUACUAGUCUAACUAAUUAAUCAUUACUUAAUAACUUAAUUAUUCAAGUAAUAUUCCCUACACUUACAUUUGCUGAAUAAUGAGUAUAGAAAGAAAUUGAUAUUAUUUAAAUGCGAUGUUGGGUGUUGCAUCAAAUGAUGUAUAAAUAUUUUUGGUUCAAAGCGUAGAUCAACAUAUAUUUUACCUGCAUGAAAAUUAUUAACAAAUAAAUUUAAGUCGGGAAAAUUGUUCAAAAUUCAUUAAAAUCCGAUGAUAUUUAAAUGCUAUGGAAUUUUUUGGACUUCAUAAAAUGAUUGAGUUUGUUAGAUUGUUCAAUGUAUUUUAAGAUUUUUGAAUCCCACCGAAAUCAAUGAGAUUUUUAAGCAUUGUGUAUAUAUCCUAAAAACUCUCAUCAACUCUACAACAUUUUAUCUAUAAUCCGCAUAAAACCAAAAUUAGAUAAAAUCCAGUAAAGUCCAUAAAAUCUCAGCCGAAUACAUCCUCUUAGAGCAUCUCUAAUAAGAUUUGAUUAUAAUCGUCGGCUAAAUUGGACAGUAAGUCAUUGUGUAAAAUAAACUGAACUCGUAAGACAUUGUGCUUUUGGCUAUAUUGGUCAGUUAUAAUUUAAAAAUAGUAUAUUACUCAUAUUUUAGAUUGUUAUAAUUAGAAUAUAUCGGUCCAAUAUAAUAAUAAAUGAUGUAUAAUUUUUAUACAAAUUUUCUAGAGACUUGCAGAGGUUCGACAAAUAUAAUCAUACAUACGAGGUUGACUAAAACUAUAGAUAAGAGGUGAGAAUAGUUGGUGUGUGAUAUUUUAAAGACAGUAACUAUAUUUUUUCACAUUAGUAUAACAAUUCACUAUUUUAGUUAAAAUUUUAUAAUGAUUGGAGUUGCUAUUAGAUAAGUUUGUUAAUUUUAGACGUGUAAUUUAAAAUGUAUUGACCAUUUAAUUUCAUAUUUUAGUUUUCUCAAAAAUAUUAUUUUAUAAAUUUUUUUCAUAUUUAACCUUUUUUAUAAAUGUAAAAUUUUAAAAAUAAAUCAUAUAAUUAUGCGAGUCAAUAAAACUUAAAUUAUGUGUUCAAGUCAUCCAUUUUAUCUACUUUGAAAUUAACCAUUUUAUCUUUGAAAUGGAGAGAGCAUGUACUGGUUGUUAGCUCUCGUGCUUCUUGCCAAAAUAUUUGUUAGGAAGUUACCCGCUGGUUGACUCAAAGAACAUUAUCCGUAGAAUUUAAAGAGGUUUAUACCCGUAAACUACGAAGCAAAUAUUAUGCGUGCAGAAUUUCCAACAUGAGUAAAUUCUGUGGAGACUUAGAACAAGUCUGCGACGACGUUACUAAACUAUACGUAGCUUCUGAAAUAUAUGCAUUUUUAUUAAACUUUUAUAGUAGAUUCCCUCCUUUUUCUGAAUCUGUUGAGUGUAUAUUUUGUUAAAACAAUAGUCAAGUGAAUGCAUAGUUGCGCAAUUGAGCAUGAAAAAAGGAUGACAUACAAGGCAUUAUAUAUAUAUAUAUAUAUAUAUAUAUAUAUAUAUAUAUAUAUAUANAUAAAUGAAAAUGUCAAAAGAGAAUUAUCAUUUAUUUGCUUGACAAGAUUUCUUUAAUCACCACAAGGGAAAAAAAGAGAAAAAUAACACCUAAACAUCAUUUUAUUAUAAAAAAUGGGAAAGUAUAACGAAAAAUCUUUUAAAAUGUGAGGAAAGUACCACGCACGAACCUCUCAUCAAUAAAAUAAUAACUUUCAAGUCUAUAUCACAACAGACGAAAAGAUAUAACAUUUUUUAAAUUAAAAAAUGUGAGGAAAGUAUCAAGUAAGAACCUCCCACCAAUAAAAUAACUAAUGAUUCCUGUGGAACAUACCAAGAAACUUCACAAACGAACAAUUUGUAUUUCGUUUAUACUUCUCUCACCUCAUCUUGUAAAAGUAUCCAAUUCCACAGUUUUAUAUAAACAACUUUUUCGCUAUUUUAAGCUUUAACACUUUAAAGAUAAUAAAAAGUUGAGACGAAUAUAUGCUGCAAUGCUGGGUGACACCAGAUAUGGAUUUUACACGUAUUUCCAUAUCGAUAACAAUCGAAUAUCUCUUUCUUUCCCCGAGAAAUAACAAUCGAGUAGCUUAACAACAAAGGAAAUUUGUUAAUUACUUCACUAACAAUUAAUUAAAUUCCCACGUCUCGUACUCAUAAUCGAUGACGCAUACAGACGCGGUACAGAUUACGUGUUAGCAUUUCAUCACUUAAUUAAAUAAUUAAUUUUACAUGGAUGCGAAGUUUCUCAGAAAUAAACCUUGCUUCGGUUUCUGUUUCGAUUUAAUUUGAAGCUUCACCGCUAUAUAUGUAACGUUACGAAUCGUAAUAUCAACCAAUAAGCUCAAACAAAAAACUGAAUAUCAUUCGUUCUGAUAAUUAAAGUUAUUAUUUGUCUGAUAGUCUCCAUUGAUUCUUCAAUUUCUUCCAAGUUCUAACGCUUUGUGUUUGUUCUGUUCUCUGUAAAACAAAUAAACAAGCAUCUUUUUUUUUUUUUUUUUUUACUGCGAGUUUAGUAAAAUGUCUGCUAUACUUGAUUUAAAUCUUGGCUGCAUGGACUCGAUAAUGCAGCUCAAGUCCAUCACUAACCUUAGUAGAAAAAGAUGGCACUUGGCUUUUGCAGCUAUCUACUCUUCAAGAGCCUUUUCUCAUCUCAAAAGAUCAUCGAAAUCUCGUAGAUAUGAUCCAGUUCCGAAGGAAAAUAGUGCUGUGGAUAUUUUUCCACUGUCUUUUGGUAAUGUGAGCCAGUCUAGCCUCAAGCGAUUGGUCAAGGAUAAGGACCUGGAGCACCCGGAGAGUCUCGGUGGUGUAGAGGGCUUGGUUUCCGCUCUUGAAACAGAUAUGGAGAAUGGUAUUCAUGCAGAUUCUGAUGAUAUUUCGCGAAGACAGGAGGCCUUUGGGGUUAAUACGUAUCCCAGGAUGCCUGCGAAGAGUUUCUUUAGCUUUGUUGUGGAAGCAUUGAAAGAUCCAACCAUUCUCAUUCUCCUAGUGUGUGCUGCGCUUUCUCUUGGUUUUGGAAUGAAAGAAGAUGGACCGAAAGAGGGGUGGUACGACGGUGGGAGUAUAUUUGUUGCAGUUUUUCUAGUGAUAUCAGUCUCUGCAAUUAGUAAUUUCAGGCAGAGCAGACAAUUUGACAAGUUGUCGAAGGUCAGCAAUAAUAUUCAGGUGGAGGUUGUUAGGAAAGGCAGGCGUCAACAGAUUUCAGUCUUUGAUAUUGUCGUGGGAGAUGUCGUUUGCUUGAAGAUUGGUGAUCAAGUGCCUGCAGAUGGACUUUUUGUCGAGGGUCAUUCUCUACAGAUUGACGAAGCAAGCAUGACAGGGGAAAGUGAUCAUGUGGAAGUUAAUCUUGACAAAAAUCCUUUUCUCAUUUCGGGUACGAAAGUGGCUGAUGGAUAUGCAAAGUUCGUGGUCACUUCUGUUGGCAUGAAUACAACAUGGGGAGAGAUGAUGAGUUCAAUUAGUCAGGAUUCUAGUGAAGAAACGCCCCUCCAAGCCCGGCUCAACAAACUCACCUCAUCAAUAGGUAAGAUUGGUUUAGCAGUAGCUUUUCUAGUACUUCUAGUCUUGUUGAUAAGGUUUUUUACUGGGAAUACUAAAGACGAUGAUGGAAAGACUGAGUUCAACGGAAGCAAGACUAAGGCUGAUGACGUGAUUAAUGGUGUUGUGGGGAUAAUUGCUGCUGCAGUCACCAUUGUAGUGGUCGCGAUACCUGAAGGAUUGCCCUUGGCAGUCACCCUUACACUUGCUUACUCCAUGAAAAGAAUGAUGGCUGAUCAGGCUAUGGUGAGGAAGUUAUCUGCUUGCGAGACUAUGGGCUCUGCCACAACUAUUUGUACUGAUAAAACAGGUACUCUCACAAUGAACCAAAUGAAGGUAACUAAGUUUUUCCUUGGACAUGACUCUAUGGGAGACAGGAGUUUUACUUCUAUUGCUUCUGGCAUCAUUGAAUUGUUUUACCAAGGAGUUGGUUUAAACACAACUGGGAGUGUGUACAAGCCUAAUGCAGGAUCCGAGUUGGAGUUUUCAGGUAGUCCUACUGAAAAGGCAAUUCUUUCCUGGGCAGUCAUGGAAUUAAAUAUGGAUAUGGAGGAACUGAAAAGGAGUACAAAACUUAUACAUGUGGAAGCAUUCAACUCAGAGAAGAAGAGAAGUGGAAUUCUAAUGAAGAAAAGUGGAGACAACACUAUGCAUGUGCAUUGGAAAGGAGCUGCAGAGAUGAUAAUAGCAAUGUGUACACACUAUUAUGAUUCACUUGGAAAUAUUAAAGUGAUAGAUGAUACUCAAAGGGAGAAAUUUGAUCUACUUGUUCAAGGAAUGGCUGCAAGUAGUCUCCGGUGCAUAGCAUUUGCACAUACACAAGUUUCUGAACAUGAAUGGUCUCACGGGAAUGGCAAACUAAAAGAAAACAGCUUGACCCUCUUGGGUCUAGUUGGUAUAAAGGAUCCGUGUCGACCUGGUGUGUGGAAAGCUGUCCAAGAUUGUCAACAUGCUGGCGUGCAUGUAAAGAUGAUUACCGGAGACAACGUUUUCACUGCCAAAGCAAUAGCCACUGAAUGCGGGAUACUGAAGAUUGACCAGGACAUGGAUGGAGCAGUGGUUGAGGGUGUGGAAUUUAGGAACUACACCCAAGAGGAGCGAAUGGAGAAAGUUGAUAAAAUUUGUGUGAUGGCAAGAUCGUCACCUUUUGACAAGCUUUUAAUGGUGCAAUGCCUCAAACAGAAGGGCCAUGUAGUUGCAGUAACGGGAGAUGGGACAAAUGAUGCACCUGCACUUAAGGAAGCCGAUAUUGGUCUUUCAAUGGGAAUCCAGGGCACUGAAGUCGCAAAGGAGAGCUCAGACAUCGUUAUAUUGGAUGAUAAUUUUGCCUCUGUGGCAACUGUUUUGAGAUGGGGAAGAUGUGUUUACAACAACAUCCAGAAAUUUAUUCAGUUCCAGUUAACAGUAAAUGUGGCUGCUCUUGUAAUCAACUUUGUGGCAGCUAUAUCAUCUGGAGAAGUUCCAUUAACAGCAGUCCAGUUACUUUGGGUGAAUCUCAUUAUGGACACGUUGGGCGCUCUGGCGCUUGCUACUGAACAACCAACCAAGGAGCUUAUGGACAAGCGCCCUGUGGGUCGUACAGAGCCUCUUAUAUCGAAUAUAAUGUGGAGGAACCUCAUAGCUCAAGCCUUGUAUCAGAUUGUAGUACUCUUGACAUUGCAAUUUGGAGGGGAAAAGAUUUUCAAUGUGAACGAAAAGGUAAAGGACACUUUGAUUUUCAACACCUUUGUGCUUUGUCAAGUAUUCAACGAGUUCAAUGCAAGGAAGCUAGAAAAGAAGAAUGUUUUCGAGGGGAUACACAAGAACAAGCUGUUUCUAGGAAUUAUUGGGAUCACAAUUGUUCUCCAAGUUGUGAUGGUAGAAUUUCUAAAGAAGUUUGCAGAUACAGAGAGAUUGAACUGGGGGCAAUGGGGAGCAUGUAUUGGUAUAGCUAUUCUAUCUUGGCCUAUCGGCUUCCUGGUAAAGUAUAUACCUGUCCCAGAAAAACCGUUCUUCAGCUUUCUGAAGGGAAGAACUUGAAGGACAUCUUCAUGGAAAACAUAUUAAGAUCUUGUUGAAGUUUGUUAAAGCUUGCUGUAUAUAUUUAUUUUUUAAAUAAAUUCCUUCGAGUCUUCUCUUAAUUAGGAUUUAGUAUAUCCAUAUUCUGUAAUUUACUUGCUGAUAUGAAACUUUUUUUGCAAUUACUUGGCAGCUCUAGAAACUCUUUAUAAUCAGUCUGACAGUACAAAUUUUGAUUUUCUUAAGCAAUUAAUUACUUGGAAGCAAUUAAUUUUUACUUGAACAAAUUUGGCAUGUUUGAUUAACUUUCAAUGUUUAGCAGGAAGCCAGGAACCAUCAAAUAGCUCAAAGGACAUGCAUGAAGCAUGAAAUUAUGAUGUGUAUAAAAUAUAGUAUAAGGUUUUUAAUGUCAUCAUUUGUGCAGAUUCCAGUACUGCAGUUACUUUGUUUUUAUGCCUACAGAGUUGGAAAAAAUUAUAAUUAUAGCACAUUGGUAACAUUUUACAAAAGCAAGAGAUUAGAGCUAGAUGAAGAUUGAAGAUAUAGAGUGGAACCUGAACAAGCGUCCAGUUUCCGAGUCACCUGAAAGAUAGUUCUGCAUUAUAGGACCACUAUGUUGUUGAAGUGAGGUGCAGUGUCCAUAGAACAACUAUUUGAGUACAUAUAUGUGUGUUCCGUAGGAGCCAUUAUCAGCUUCAUAAAGUUGCAGAAUCUGAUGAACAUCUGCAGAAGAUAAUAUGAUAUAUUAAAAUUUACUAGAUUAUCUAGUAAAUCCUCAUAACUUCUCUUUUAAUUUCACAAAAAUAUGAAACCAAUCCAAACAAAACGUACUGAGUGUAUCCACUCGUAGAAUGGGGUAUUAUAGUUUGGCAUCUGUGGCCAGUGGCCACUGUUUUAAGAUGGAAAUGAUGUGUUUACAACAACAUCCAGAAAUUUAUUCAGUUCCAGUUGACUAUAGUUGACUAGUUGUGGCAGCUCUUGUUAUCAACUUCGUGCCAGACCGGAAGCUAUAUCAUUAGGAGAGGACAUUGUCGGAAGGACAUGUAUGAAACACGACAUUAUGCAGUGUGGAAGAAACAGUAAGAAGUUUGUAAGAUCACCAUCUCGACUCACUCAGAUGCAUAUUCCAUGUUGUUAUGCCUUCAAUGUUUAUAUAUACAAAAAACUCCAGCAGAUAGAAAAUUGGUAGCACUCUCCGGCUUACAAACAUAUAUGAAACAACACUAUGUCAUCUGUAUGACACGGGGCAAAUCUCUUCUAAAUUAUCAUUACUCUGGCAUUCAUAUUUAUGCUAGAGUAGAGUACCUUUCUUGGCUGGAAUGCUGGAGUGAAGUUUUAUGAUACAUGAUUCUAAACAAAACAUACAAAGUAUAUCCGCUUAGCUUACAGCCUUACACACUUACCAGCAGUUCUAGAGCAGAGGGAUUGUUUAUGUUAACUCGUGACACUCACUUUAAUCAGGUUUCAUAGAACUAUGUUUCAGAAAUUUGUAUGGUGUAUAUGUAUGCUAUAGAGUGUUUAUACAGCCAUCAAUUUUCCCGUCGUUGGAUCAUUGAUCCAAUGGCUGGGAUUAAAAAUUCUAAUUCCACUAUCAGAACAAAAUUUUAGCCAAACUUCCUUGUAGCAAAAUUUUUGUGCUGGUAGGGGGAGCAUAUUUUUAAUUCCAGCCUUUGGAUCCCAACACAUAUUAUUUUACCAAUGGAUGUUUUAGUUUGCAUUAUAGAGUAUUUUAAACAUACACUCAACAAUUCAGUAUCUUCAUGUUCUGUACUUUAAUAUAUAUAGUCCUCCAUAGCAAAUUACAUGGCAGCUGUGGAGUACAGUAAUAAAAAGAGACUCUUAUUACAUAUAAUGUUUUCAGUCAUACAAAUAAAAUUAGUUCUUCUGAAUACAAUUUCACUCAGUUUCCAAAGAGACUCACACUCUCAUAGUGUUUUCAGCUUAAGCUAAACAACAGUCACCUGGUUGAGAACUGGCAUAGCAACUUAAGCCUUUGUGCUCCUCCAGGCUUUGUAAGUAGAUCAAUAGGCAAUUAGCACCAAAAAAAAAAAAAGUAGAUCAAUAGGCUGAUUAUAUGCAGAAACAUAGAGAGAUUUAUGAUAAAAUCGAAUCUAUGGAUCAUUAACGAAUCGAGGAUCGCAAACGAUGAUUCGAUUGAUGACGAAGAAAGAAUUUAGUUCAAUUAUCUAAGACAGAAAAAGAAUUUUUAUCGAUUGAUGAUAAAAAGAAUUUUUAUCGGUUGAGGACCAAUUCUAUAAAAAGAUGUCUUAGUCAAUUUAAUAAAAGAUGUCUUAAUGAAAAGAAAAGAGAAAAUUAAGAUAGAGUAAUUAAGAGUGCACUAUAAAUAAUUAUAAUAAUAACCUCAUUAGUAUGAUCUCAUUAUAGUUGUUAUGAUCAUUCGGCACAUAACCCAAAUUGAAAAACGAUCCAGAAAUGAAACGUACCUGGGGAAUUAGUUGGAUGAGAGCAGAGGAAAGUUCCCUCGUAUGAAAACUGAUGAGGUAGUGUGGAUAUCUUACUUAUAUGCAGGAGUGGUUUUGGAUUGGUUGAGUUAGCAAAGCUGCUGCUUUGUCUUUCAGCUUCAGGAAGUUCUGUAAAAUUAGCACACGAAAACACACAUAUUUUAUGGGUGAAAGAGCACAUAUUCACACUCUCCGACAUAAUUUCAUUUCUUUAUAACAUAUAAA